rnacentral:rRNA from 1 species
AUUGAACGCUGGCGGCAUGCCUUACACAUGCAAGUCGAACGGCAGCACGGGAGCAAUCCUGGUGGCGAGUGGCGAACGGGUGAGUAAAGUAUCGGAACGUGCCCAGUCGUGGGGGAUAACGUAGCGAAAGUUACGCUAAUACCGCAUACGAUCUAUGGAUGAAAGCGGGGGAUCGCAAGACCUUGCGCGAUUGGAGCGGCCGAUAUCAGAUUAGGUAGUUGGUGGGGUAAAGGCUCACCAAGCCGACAAUCUGUAGCUGGUCUGAGAGGACGACCAGCCACACUGGGACUGAGACACGGCCCAGACUCCUACGGGAGGCAGCAGUGGGGAAUUUUGGACAAUGGGCGAAAGCCUGAUCCAGCCAUGCCGCGUGCAGGAUGAAGGCCUUCGGGUUGUAAACUGCUUUUGUACGGAACGAAAAGGUUUGGGCUAAUAAGCUGAGCUCAUGACGGUACCGUAAGAAUAAGCACCGGCUAACUACGUGCCAGCCGCCGCAGUAA